UUGGAUCCAGACUUUGAUCAUGGCUCAGGACGAACGCUGGCGGCGCGCCUAACACAUGCAAGUCGAACGGAGUCAAGAGGAGCUUGCUUUUCUUGACUUAGUGGCGAACGGGUGAGUAACGCGUGAGUAACCUGCCUUGGAGUGGGGGACAACAGUUGGAAACGACUGCUAAUACCGCAUAAGCCCACGGAUCCGCAUGGAUCUGCGGGAAAAGGAUUUAUUCGCUUCAGGAUGGACUCGCGUCCAAUUAGCUAGUUGGUGAGGUAACGGCCCACCAAGGCGACGAUUGGUAGCCGGACUGAGAGGUUGAACGGCCACAUUGGGACUGAGACACGGCCCAGACUCCUACGGGAGGCAGCAGUGGGGGAUAUUGCACAAUGGGGGAAACCCUGAUGCAGCGACGCCGCGUGGAGGAAGAAGGUUUUCGGAUUGUAAACUCCUGUCGUUAGGGACGAUAAUGACGGUACCUAACAAGAAAGCACCGGCUAACUACGUGCCAGCAGCCGCGGUAAAACGUAGGGUGCAAGCGUUGUCCGGAAUUACUGGGUGUAAAGGGAGCGCAGGCGGACCGGCAAGUUGGAAGUGAAAACUAUGGGCUCAACCCAUAAAUUGCUUUCAAAACUGCUGGCCUUGAGUAGUGCAGAGGUAGGUGGAAUUCCCGGUGUAGCGGUGGAAUGCGUAGAUAUCGGGAGGAACACCAGUGGCGAAGGCGACCUACUGGGCACCAACUGACGCUGAGGCUCGAAAGCAUGGGUAGCAAACAGGAUUAGAUACCCUGGUAGUCCAUGCCGUAAACGAUGAUUACUAGGUGUUGGAGGAUUGACCCCUUCAGUGCCGCAGUUAACACAAUAAGUAAUCCACCUGGGGAGUACGACCGCAAGGUUGCAACUCAAAUGAAUUGACGGA
rnacentral:rRNA from 1 species